rnacentral:rRNA from 1 species
AACGAACGCUGGCGGCAUGCCUAACACAUGCAAGUCGAACGAGACCUUCGGGUCUAGUGGCGCACGGGUGCGUAACGCGUGGGAACCUGCCCUUAGGUUCGGAAUAACUCCCCGAAAGGGGUGCUAAUACCAGAUAAUGUCUUCGGACCAAAGAUUUAUCGCCUUUGGAUGGGCCCGCGUUGGAUUAGCUAGUUGGUAGGGUAAAAGCCUACCAAGGCGACGAUCCAUAGCUGGUCUGAGAGGAUGAUCAGCCACACUGGGACUGAGACACGGCCCAGACUCCUACGGGAGGCAGCAGUGGGGGAUAUUGGACAAUGGGCGAAAGCCUGAUCCAGCAAUGCCGCGUGAGUGAUGAAGGCCUUAGGGUUGUAAAGCUCUUUUACCCGGGAUGAUAAUGACAGUACCGGGAGAAUAAGCUCCGGCUAACUCCGUG